GUACCAAUAAAUGAGUGGCUAAUAAAACAUAGAGAAGAUCCUCAUUCUACGGUAACUGAAACCGCCAUUACAGUGGAAAUGAGGAAGAAAUGGGACGAUUUCGAUUUUGAAAAAUACGCUACGAUUGAUGAUGACAUUGUAGCAACCAAAGCACUAACAGACGAACAAAUUAUUCAGUCAGCCACAGCAGUCGGUAGGAUCUUUGAACGAAGCCGGAACAGGAGUUUUCCAACGAACGACGGUGGAUUCCAAUCCCUUGACAGCAAAACCAACCCCGGAAGAAAAAGACGCCGCCUUCACUCACGGUGAACUACGGAUUAGGAACACCCAGUGAAGCCCCUGGUAGUUAAAUCAGCGUAAAGAACACGACGAUUAGAUGAUUUUCCAAUUGUAAGUAAAACAUUAAAUCAUUAUAUUUC